rnacentral:rRNA from 1 species
UACGAAGGGGGCUAGCGUUGUUCGGAAUUACUGGGCGUAAAGCGUGCGCAGGCGGCUUCUCAAGUCAGGGGUGAAAGCCCAGAGCUCAACUCUGGAAUUGCCUUUGAGACUGAGAGGCUUGAGUACGGAAGAGGUGAGUGGAAUUCCCAGUGUAGAGGUGAAAUUCGUAGAUAUUGGGAAGAACACCAGUGGCGAAGGCGGCUCACUGGACCGUAACUGACGCUCAUGCACGACAGCGUGGGGAUCAAACAGG